rnacentral:rRNA from 1 species
GAUGAACGCUGGCGGCGUGCCUAAUACAUGCAAGUCGAGCGAACAGACGAGGAGCUUGCUCCUCUGACGUUAGCGGCGGACGGGUGAGUAACACGUGGAUAACCUACCUAUAAGACUGGGAUAACUUCGGGAAACCGGAGCUAAUACCGGAUAAUAUAUUGAACCGCAUGGGUCAAUAGUGAAAGACGGUUUUGCUGUCACUUAUAGAUGGAUCCGCGCCGCAUUAGCUAGUUGGUAAGGUAACGGCUUACCAAGGCGACGAUGCGUAGCCGACCUGAGAGGGUGAUCGGCCACACUGGAACUGAGACACGGUCCAGACUCCUACGGGAGGCAGCAGUAGGGAAUCUUCCGCAAUGGGCGAAAGCCUGACGGAGCAACGCCGCGUGAGUGAUGAAGGUCUUCGGAUCGUAAAACUCUGUUAUUAGGGAAGAACAAAUGUGUAAGUAACUAUGCACGUCUUGACGGUACCUAAUCAGAAAGCCACGGCUAACUACGU